AAUCUCCCCAGCAGUUAGGGAUAACAUCUCGAAAGAGAUGCUAAUACCUGAUAAGCCCACGCUCUCUUCGGAGAGAGGGGGAAAAGGUGGGGACCUUCGGGCCUGCCGUUGCUGGAUGAGUCCGCGGCCCAUUAGCUAGUUGGUAGGGUAAUGGCCUACCAAGGCUACGAUGGGUAGCUGGUCUGAGAGGAUGAUCAGCCACACUGGAACUGAGACACGGUCCAG
rnacentral:rRNA from 1 species